ACCCGCUGAACUUAAGCAUAUCAAUAAGCGGAGGAAAAGAAACUAACAAGGAUUCCCCUAGUAACGGCGAGUGAAGCGGGAAGAGCUCAAAUUUGAAAUCUGGCGGCAUCCUGUCGUGCGAGUUGUAAUCUAUAGAAGUGUUUUCCGCUCCGGACCAUGUACAAGUACCUAGGAACAGGGCGUCAUAGAGGGUGAGAAUCCCGUCCUUGACAUGAUCUCCGGCUGCUAUGUGAUACACUUUCAACGAGUCGAGUUGUUUGGGAAUGCAGCUCAAAAUGGGUGGUGAAUUCCAUCUAAAGCUAAAUAUUGGCGAGAGACCGAUAGCGAACAAGUACCGUGAGGGAAAGAUGAAAAGCACUUUGGAAAGAGAGUUAAACAGUACGUGAAAUUGUUGAAAGGGAAACGAUUGAAGUCAGUCAUACUCUAUGGGUUAAGCUGUCCACGGUGUAUUCCAUUGAGUGGGGUCAACAUCAGUUUUGAACGCUGGAAAAAGGCACAGGGAAGGUAGCACUCUCGGGUGAACUUAUAGCCCUGCGUCAUAUACAGCGGUUGGGACUGAGGAACGCAGUAUGCCUUAUGACCGGGAUUCGUCCUCGUACACGCUUAGGAUGUUGACAUAAUGGCUUUAAACGACCCGUCUUGAAACACGG
rnacentral:rRNA from 1 species